CUCGGAGUAGGAGGAGGAAGGUACACUUCCAUCUGGAGACACAACUGCCACCACCAGCUUUGGAGCACAGAUUAAUAAACCCGGCCAGCGUCAUGCAGUCCAGGCCCACAGCGGAGCAGAUCUGCCUUAAGAGCAACGACAAGGAGAGUUCUGAAGACUGAAAGCCAGGAACUCCACACAGGAAUUCCACACAGAAAACAAAGAACAGCUGCAAAGUACCAAGGGAUCGAACUCAUGACCUCGUGCUUGACAGGAAGAUUUUUAUCGUUUUGAGACAUGGUCUCAUUACACAGUUCAGGUUGGACUUGAGCUCACUUUGUGGCCCAGGCUGGUCUGAAACUCACAACAAUCCUCAUACCUCAGUCUCCCGAUUGCUAGGAUUACAAGCAUGCACCAACAAGCCUAGCUGUGGUUUUAUUCUUUUUAAAGGAAAAAAAGAGGAAAUGAUGGAUAAUAAUCCAUAGUCUACACAGCAAUGUGGCUGGUGGGGGUGGCACGCCAUUUAGGGCAACAAAACUAAAAAUAAUAAU